GACGAACGCUGGCGGCGUGCCUAAUACAUGCAAGUAGAACGCUGAAGAGAGGAGCUUGCUCUUCUUGGAUGAGUUGCGAACGGGUGAGUAACGCGUAGGCAACCUGCCUGGUAGCGGGGGAUAACUAUUGGAAACGAUAGCUAAUACCGCAUAAUAUUGACUAUUGCAUGAUAGUUGAUUAAAAGGUGCAAUUGCACCACUACCAGAUGGACCUGCGUUGUAUUAGCUAGUUGGUGGGGUAACGGCUCACCAAGGCGACGAUACAUAGCCGACCUGAGAGGGUGAUCGGCCACACUGGGACUGAGACACGGCCCAGACUCCUACGGGAGGCAGCAGUAGGGAAUCUUCGGCAAUGGACGGAAGUCUGACCGAGCAACGCCGCGUGAGUGAAGAAGGUUUUCGGAUCGUAAAGCUCUGUUGUAAGAGAAGAACGAGUGUGAGAGUGGAAAAGUUCACACUGGGGACGGU
rnacentral:rRNA from 1 species